rnacentral:rRNA from 1 species
GAUGAACGCUGGCGGCGUGCCUUAAGCAUGCAAGUCAAGGGGCCAUAGCAAUAUGGUACCGGCGGACGGGUGAGUAACGCGUGGGAAUCUUCCCAGAAGAGGGGCAUAGCCAGCCGAAAGGUUGGGUAAUUCCCCAUGUGAUCGUAAGAUUAAAGGCGCAAGCCGCUUCUGGAUGAGCCCGCGUCCUAUCAGCUAGUUGGUGGGGUAAAAGCCUACCAAGGCGACGACGGGUAGCUGGUCUGAGAGGAUGGUCAGCCACAAUGGGACUGCGACACGGCCCAUACACCUACGGGUGGCAGCAACUGGGAAUCAUGGACAAUGGACGAAAGUCUGAUCCUGCGAACGCCGCGUGGAGGAUUGAAGGCCUUCGGGUUGUAAACUCCUUUUGCAUAGGAAGAUUAUGACGGUACUAUGCGAAUAAGCACCUGCUAAUCACGUGCCAGAAGCCUCGGUAAGACGUGAGGUGCGAGCGUUAUCCGGAUUCAUUGGGCCGUAAAGAGUUCCGUAGGCCGGAUUUGCGCAUUUUAUUUAAAAGCCCGGAGCUCAACUCCGGUUUUGGGUAAAAUAUGGCAAAUCUAGUAGGAUAGAGAGGGUACUGGAACUGAUGGUGUAGCAGUGAAAUGCGUUGAUAUCAUCAGGAACACCAAAGGCGUAGGCAGGUACCUGGCUAUCUCUAGACUGCUGAGGCACGAAAGCUAGGGGAGCGAAGCAGAUUAGAGACCUGCGUAGUCCUAGCCGUAAACGAUGGAUGCUAGUUACCGGGAUUUUUCUCGGUGACGUAAGGUAACCCGUUAAGCAUCCCGCCUGGGGAGUACGAGCGCAAGCUUAAAACUCAAAGGAAUUGACGGGGAGGCGCACAAGCAGUGGAGCAUGUGGUUUAAUUCGAUACGAAGCGAAACACCUCACCAAGGUUUGACAUGUACUUGCUAAUCCUGUGAAAGCGGGACUCCUUCGAGGGUAGUACACAGAUGCUGCAUGGCUGUCGUCAGCUCGUGGCGUGAGCUGUACCGUUAAGUCGGGCAACG